AAAAAGCCUCAAAUUUUCCUCCCCGGCCGCGAUUGCCCUGAAGAAAUCCCUUUCGAUCUCUAUUGAGUCGGUUGAUCGGUGGCCGGAUAUCCAUGAAGCUAAUAGCAGGUGGCUCGGUGCCGUUCCGUCCACAAUAGUCACAGAAAGGUCGACCCCGAGCCUUGAAAUCUCCUUUGUUCGAACCAUCAAAAUUAUGGUUACUGCCCCCAUAGUCAUUUGCAAUUUUGGUCGCGAAUCCCAUCGCUUUUGAGCUAGAAUCCCUGCCUUGAUUGAUUAAUCGUUGAGCUUCAUCGUGUGCGGCCAUGGAGUGGGCUCGAUUGACAUUCGAAAGAGGGUCCAUGCUCAAGAUUUGGGACCAAAUUGUGGAGAACUCGGGAUUAAGCCCGAUGAGGAACUGGUAAACCUUCUCUUUUUCCUUUUGGGUGGCAAGCUGAGCUCUACCGUCACAGGUGCACAUGUUGAGAUACAAUUCCAAUUCAUCCUAAAAACUCUUUAAUUUCGAGUAAUACUCAGAAAUAGAUUUCCUCUCCCGUCUAAGUAAGCAUAUAUCGGUCUUGAGUUGAUGGAUUCUUGUUUCAUUUGCUUGCGAGAAACGCUUCUUAAGAUCAUCCCAGAGUACCUUGGCGUUCUUUGCCCCGGCUACAUAAUUCUGCAAUUCUUCAUCUAAAUGAUUAAAAAUCCAGGAAACAAGCAUCGAAUUACACGUUACCCAUUGCUCAGGGAAAUUAGUUGAGUCCUUAGUCCAUCCGAGGAAGAGAGGAGAUACGCUAGAGAAUGAGGGGAUGAGGAACGCUCAGUCCAGAAACUGGUAGGACAGAAGCUCGACCUAAAAUUGGCCAGCAAAUUGGAGCUUGACGAUUGCCCUCACGAUCGAUACUCUGAUACCAUGUAAAGAAAUGAGAUUGGGCUGAAAAGCUUGCAUUUGUCAUUCAUUCCAUUGGUAUGUAUACAACUCAGUCUUGAUCAAUAAAAGGAAAGUAAUGUCUAUGCCUAAAAUAGGCUAACCUAA